GCUGGGCAUGGUGGCACAUGCCUGUGGUCCCAGCUACUCAGGAAGCUGAGGUGGGAGGAUCGCUUGAGCCCAGGAGUUUGAGGGUGUAGUGAGCUAUGAUCAAACCACUACAUUCCAGCCUGGGCAACAGAGCAAGACCCUGUCUCAA
rnacentral:SRP_RNA from 1 species